GACGAACGCUGGCGGCGUGCUUAACACUUGCAAGUCGAACGGAAAGGCCCUGCUUUUGUGGGGUGCUCGAGUGGCGAACGGGUGAGUAACACGUGAGUAACCUGCCCUUGACUUUGGGAUAACUUCAGGAAACUGGGGCUAAUACCGGAUAGGAGCUCCUGCUGCAUGGUGGGGGUUGGAAAGUUUCGGCGGUUGGGGAUGGACUCGCGGCUUAUCAGCUUGUUGGUGGGGUAGUGGCUUACCAAGGCUUUGACGGGUAGCCGGCCUUAGAGGGUGACCGGCCACAUUGGGACUGAGAUACGGCCCAGACUCCUACGGGAGGCAGCAGUGGGGAAUAUUGCACAAUGGGCGGAAGCCUGAUGCAGCAACGCCGCGUGCGGGAUGACAGCCUUCGGGUUGUAAACCGCUUUCGCCUGUGACGAAGCGUGAGUGGCGGUAAUGGGUAAAGAAGCACCGGCUAACUACGUG
rnacentral:rRNA from 1 species